CAGGUGCUGGGCUUCCAGAGAGAUGCCAACUCCCCAGCCCUGCUGAUGCCCACUGCCUCUGGUGUUCCUGAUGGUGACUUCUGACAUUGUCGUCCAGCCCUCCAUCCCCCCAACCCCGGCAAGGAACCUUCUGGUUGCUCUGUGGCCUUAGGACCCUCCCUUGGGAGCCUCUGCUGCCUGGAUCGACCUCUGUCCAUCCCCAGAGCACAGCCUCCUCGGGGAAGCUCAACAGGCACACUUCCUUCUUUGGAGGACCCACGGGGCUCCAGCUACGAACAGAACAGGAGGACACUCUGAUCCAGGGGGGUCUUGAUCAGAGAACCAAGGCCUGAGGUCCCAAAGCCACAAUGUGGAGAGCAUGUGACCUCUCUCCAACAGUCAUCAGAAGCCAACAUGAACAGAACCUGUGACCCACAAAGAAAAGGUGACAUGAGGAGGCUCCAGGCCUGUGAUAGCUUGCAACAGCACAGGGGAAUUGUGGUGCUGAAGGCCAGGCUGCUGAGUGUGAGCCCCCCACAAGCUCACCCUGUUCCUUAUGUCCUGAGAUCUCCCUGAAUUCCUGCCACAGGACCAUCAGUUUUUUUUUUUUCCCACUCCACCUUCUUUUUGUUUUUUAUAGACUCCUAUUUAUUCUACCUUCAGUGCCCCAUUUAUACACAGCCAUUCCUGAUACUCCAGUGAUAGCCUCCAGUGUCCUCCGGGUCCCUGCUAUGCCAGCACUAUGCUCCUGUCCUAGGCCUGAGUCAUGAGCCCAGGUUAGGUAGGAGGCUCAUUCCAUCUCUGUGAACUCACUUCAGGAGACCCAAGGUCAUGUUCCUAC
rnacentral:lncRNA from 1 species